rnacentral:rRNA from 1 species
GAUGAACGCUAGCGGCGGGCCUAAUACAUGCAAGUUGAACGAGAUUGUUGGUAGCAAUACUGACAUGAAAGUGGCGCACGGGUGCGUAACACGUAUGUAACCUACCUUUAACUGGGGCAUAGCUUCGAGAAAUCGAAAUUAAUACCCCAUAACAUUUAGAAAAGGCAUCUUUUCUUUAUCAAAGUUCCGGCGGUUAAAGAUGGACAUGCGGUGCAUUAGCUUGUUGGUGAGGUAACGGCUCACCAAGGCUACGAUGCAUAGGGGGUCUGAGAGGAUGAUCCCCCANACUGGUACUGAGACACGGACCAGACUCCUACGGGAGCAGCAGUGGGGAAUAUUGGACAAUGGGCGCAAGCCUGAUCCAGCAAUGCCGCGUGUGUGAAGAAGGCCUGCGGGUUNUAAAGCACUUUCAGUGGGGAAGAACGGGCCAAGGUUAAUACCCCCUAGGCUUCUGACGUUACCCACAGAAGAAGCACCGGCUAACUCCGUGCCAGCAGCCG